rnacentral:rRNA from 1 species
CAGGGAAUCUUCCGCAAUGGACGCAAGUCUGACGGAGCAACGCCGCGUGAGUGAAGAAGGAUUUCGGUUCGUAAAACUCUGUUGUUAGAGAAGAACAGCGCAUAGAGUAACUGUUAUGCGUGUGACGGUAUCUAACCAGAAAGCCACGGCUAACUACGUGCCAGCAGCCGCGGUAAUACGUAGGUGGCAAGCGUUGUCCGGAUUUAUUGGGCGUAAAGCGAGCGCAGGCGGUCAAUUAAGUCUGAUGGGAAAGCCCCCGGCUCAACCGGGGAGGGUCAUUGGAAACUGGUUGACUUGAGUGCAGAAGAGGAGAGUGGAAUUCCAUGUGUAGCGGUGAAAGGCGUAGAUAUAUGGAGGAACACCAGUGGCGAAGGCGACUCUCUGGUCUGUAACUGACGCUGAGGCUCGAAAGCGUGGGUAGCAAACAGG